ACACGGUGGAGACACCGGCUAGGCCAGGGGGCCUGCCCUUGGGACAGGUCCAGACCCAUGGAGCCCCCCGGGAGGAGCAGCAGGUCCACAGCGUCUCAUACUCUACACCAGUAUUGCUGUCCUACUCAGGUCCUUGACUCCAUGAAGCUUACCCCCUCAGGCAGGCUGGCAGAGAGCAGGUAAGAGCUAGACCCAUCCCUCCCCCAAUUCCUCCUCCUUCCAGACAAAUAUACAGUGUCAUUGCCAGCCCCUCCCACCUCCCUGAGCCCCCGCUGUGCCUGUGGAAUGGGUGUCCGAGUGUAUGAGGAGAGUGCCUGGAAGAUCAGGUCAGCAGACCAAAGAGGACAUUUGGGAUCUAUCUAAUUUGUCCUUCCUUAAAAAAAUCCUUCCCUAGAGACCUGCCCCAAAAGGCCUGAGUGGUUGGUCCUAGACUAUGUGAUAAUCCAGCUUUUUUAAAGGAUGAAUAGGAGUUUGCCAGUUGGAUAGACUGAGGAAGGGCAGUUAGGCAGAGGGAACAAUCUGCCCAUAUCUUUGGAGAAUGUUAUUUCUUUUUUUUUUUUCUGAGAUGGAGUCUUGCUCUGUCGCCCA
rnacentral:sRNA from 1 species